CUGGCGCUGCACCCAACGCUCUAAACGAACACUGUGAGCAGCAGGGAGAAUGUGGGGGUCCCCAGCGGCAAGACCCCCAGGAUCAGACAUCUUAUCCCCUAUCCUUUGGAUAGGGUAUAAGAUGUCUAGUACCCCUUUAAGUGGAAACCUAGGGUGAGUUCCCACACUUUUUUUCCCAGGACUUGACCUCUGAGGGUAAGGGACCUCCGGCUGUCCUCUCUGCUGACCGGGACACUGCAAUUUCACAGCAGUGAUCCCGAUCAGCAUCCCUGAACUAACCGACAGUUAAUCUCAGGACUUUUAGAUGCCGCAAUCAAUAUUCUUAAUGAAGACCUGAUCGAGUACUCUGGCCCUCAGACUGAGCCAAAGGUUUACCUUUCAACAAGACAUUGGGGGGAGAUUUAUCAAAACCUGUACAGAGGAAGAGUGGUGCAGUUAACCAUAGCAACCAAUAAGGUAGUUUCUGUCAUUUUUCAAAGCUCUGACUAGAACCCUGACUGUCCACCGUCUGUCCCCAUCUAACCUGACAGAGCUUGAGAUCAUCUGCACAGAAUUGUAUCAGAAUAUCCCCUAAUCCAGGUGUACAAACCUUUUGGCAUCAUACCCAAGACUACAGGAGGCUGUAAUAGCUGCUAAAGGUCCUAAACUAAGUACUGAGUAAAGGGUAUGAAUAGUUAGGCAAGUGCAAUUUGUUCUACUCUUUUCUAUUUGUUCUAUUAUGCUGACGCUUGUUGUUUGCAUAUCGCACUAAAAUGAUGUAAUUUUUCCCCCCUGCAAGGGGUUCAUAUGAUUUCCUACAUUUUUUUCUGUGGAACUCAAGGGGUUGACCUUAAAGAGGCACUGUCAUUGUUAAAAACUUUUAAUAUAUUGCAGGACUCAUUAUAAUAUGACAUUUCACAAUAUACACCUGUUAAAGAAAAUUAAAGUUUUCACCUGAAAUUCAAGCUCAAAAUAGCCACCACUAGGGGUCACCUGUCUUUUAGCCAGACAGACUAGUCUAGAUUUUACAGCAUACUGUAUACUGGCCGUAAAGCAUACCGGUAUCCAGUAUAGGAGAUUUCUAUUGUGUAUGCAAAACUACAGAUGCGUGGACAUGCUGGGAGCUGUAGUUUUAAAACAGCUGGAGGCAACACUGCUCUAACACAGUUAUUUACAAACAUUGCAGCUUCAGUUGUUACUAAACUACAACUCCCAGCAUGCUGAAAUAGUCAAAGCUUUCUCAGACUCCUGAAUGACAAAGAAGUUGAUCAGACAUUCAGUAGUCUGUGAAAGAUGAAUGACACACAUAGUGACAGCUAUGCUGAUUAGCAUCCUGCUUUACUAGGAGAAGAUAAAACCGAUAGAACAUGUAUUCAUAAAAAUGCUGUACUUUUAUCUAAAAAAUCCUUGCACUAAUUUUAUAAAGAUCUACUCUUAUAUUUAUACAUUUUAUCCUGUUAUGAAUUCACCAUAAUGUCUUCUGAUUACUGCAGGCAAGCUCCAAGUAUCAUGACACAGCAUAAAACCAGAGAGGAAAAGGUUACAGAGUAGAGAGUACUGAUUGGCUGACUGCCCAAGACAGACUGACACGCCCCCUCCAGCCUGCACAAUGAAAAAGUAACUCACCAGCAGAUAAAUGCUUAUAUCUCUGGAUAUAUAGGUCCGAGACACAUAAAAAUUAUAUGCACAUGAUCAGGAUUGGGUCCUGAGUAACAUAUCACUUUUUUUCCUUUUUUUUGCACUAUGACAGGUACGCUUUAAGUCUUGCCAUCCAGCAUAAUAGAAAAAAAAAAUCAAGGACUAGGAUGGGCUGAAAAAGUAAAAAAUAAAAAAUUCACCUGCUGUAAUCCCCUGCCCCAGCUAUUCAGACAGCAUUCAGGCUCUGCACAGCACCCUCCUGGUGUUCUUGAAUGAGGAGACGAUGAGGAUUAGCUGACAAAGUUAGGAACAAACUACAUCUGGACAUCAAACUCUGCAAAGGGAAAAUGUAGCUGGAAGAAGUCAUGGCGGAUUGGACCAGAUGGAGAAAGUAUUUACACUGGACUGAAAAGGAGAAAAACGGAAGAAUGUGUCCUUACUGAAUGGAAUAUAGGAAUAUAUUGAUAGUGACUAUGUUGUUGUAAGUCCAGCCAAUGGAGAAGAAUGUUUAGAAUGUGCACACUAUCGGCAGAUUGGCAUUCCAGAGAGAUGGACUGGCAGCUAUAUAGAACAUGCAGUAUUACAAUAGACAUACAUGGCUAGUUUAUAGAAAACCCAACAUGUUUCUAAAGCAUGUGAUUGAUAUACAUCCGCAUAGGAGAUAAGAUAAUAUUUGGUUUGUAUCACACUAGAAACUAUGAGAAAUGUGUAAUUACACUAUAAUGAGGAAUUUGUGUGCCUACAUACUUUGAUGGCAAAUCCAGAAAUGGCAAAUCCAGUCCAGCUAGGUAAAAAGGUUCAAAGCUUUAUUCCAUAACUAUACAGAUGUCUACGCUGUACUAAUUGAAUGGGGUUAGUGCUGGAAUAUUGUACGUGUGUUUAUACUUUGAGACAACUUAAGUGGCUGGAGAAGCACUUUAAUACAACAUUUAUUUUCUACUGGCUUUUAGUACAAUUUAAAGUAAUAUUCAAUGAUUUACAGCACUUUCCUUUGUCUACGAUUGGUUUCAGAAGUGUGUAUUAAAUCUGCAAGUCCCAGCCCUCUCAUGACCUGAACUAGCAGCAUCAUAGAUCCUUAUAAUGCGGUCAGUUCAGGUCAUUGGACUUAUGAUCAGGUGUCCCUCAUGCAAGCAUCUGUAGAAGGUCUACCAUUUAUGCAGAAAACAUAACUCUGAAAUCCUCAUCAGGGAAACCAAAGGACACAAAUAAAUUUAAAACUACCAAAUCAAUUUUUUUUUCUGGAUAUGAAAAUAGUAUUAGGCUGUAACAUAAACACACUAACACAGGUGUCAUUUGUC